rnacentral:rRNA from 1 species
CUGACCUCAAAUCAGGUAGGACUACCCGCUGAACUUAAGCAUAUCAAUAGGCCGGAGGAAUCGGUGGGUCCCCCCCCCCCCCCACAAAAAAAAGAUGUGCCCCUUUUUGAUCUGAAAACACCUGGUCCUAGUUAAAGCGCGGUAGAGACCCCAUUCGUUGUGUCUGAACACUCCGCGCCUUCUAAAAGCUGCUCUGUUAAAGUA